rnacentral:rRNA from 1 species
GACGAACCGUGCGAACGUUGUUCGGAAUCACUGGGCUUAAAGGGUGCGUAGGCGGGUUGUCCAGUCUGGGGUGAAAUCCCACGGCUCAACCGUGGAACUGCCUCAGAUACUGACGACCUCGAGGGAGGUAGGGGCGAGCGGAACUGUGGGUGGAGCGGUGAAAUGCGUUGAUAUCCACAGGAACUCCGGUGGCGAAGGCGGCUCGCUGGACCUCUUCUGACGCUGAGGCACGAAAGCUAGGGGAGCAAACGGG